rnacentral:rRNA from 1 species
UACGUAGGGUGCAAGCGUUAUCCGGAAUUAUUGGGCGUAAAGAGCUCGUAGGCGGUUUGUCGCGUCUGCUGUGAAAACUGGAGGCUCAACCUCCAGCCUGCAGUGGGUACGGGCAGACUAGAGUGCGGUAGGGGAGAUUGGAAUUCCUGGUGUAGCGGUGGAAUGCGCAGAUAUCAGGAGGAACACCGAUGGCGAAGGCAGAUCUCUGGGCCGUAACUGACGCUGAGGAGCGAAAGCAUGGGGAGCGACCAGG